AAAGUAAUCACAAAGUAUGGUGAUAUCCGAGAUAGGGUCUCAAUACUCUCUACUCUUGGUACAACAUCAGAGAACCAUUGAUACAACUUCGAAGGCCUUAUUAUACAAAUCUGGCAGAUACCAGUCUCUUUGAGAUUGUGCUGGUGACUUUGUAUCGAAGGGUGCACCGACACCCACAGUGCCGAAUGUAACACAGAAGAACCCUUUUACACUCUCAUUCCUUAUUUAAAGCCGCUACAAUUUACUCUUUUGUGUUUAUACAUUUGAAUCACAACUCAGCAUGCAACAACUCAUCAUCUGAAAAAGAGCUCAUGAAGUAAGAUGUACUCAAGGAUACCUCGCCAAAAAGUCUGGACAGGAUGAGUCGUGCUACAUUCUCAGCUGCAACAGCACUUGUUUCCAUGGUGCUAGCUGCAUUCUCAAAGGCAUUCACAUAGUACAAAUGCUGACCAUCCAAAAUAAAAGGCGCAAAUACUUCAGGAGCUUUGUAAUGAGGGUAAGCACCCCAGUCUAUUCUUAUAGUCUCCUUCCUCACACUAAAAAUGUUAUCAAGUAAUGAAUCAGGCAUUGCUUUUCGAGAGAAUACUUUGUAUGUCAUAUCUGUCUCAUUGUGCCGCUUGAGAAUAGAAAUGCUUGAGAACGGAAGGUCAGGAUCCUCUAUGGUGCCCACAAGUUCUGGAAUUUCUGAGACAGUUUGUAGGCCAAAAUAUCCAGGAUUAAGGAGGCCCCUCACAAAAGUUGCAUGUGUGUGUUGUAAUUGACGCUCAGGAAUUGAUAUUGGAGGUGUAAAUUGAAUAUUCAACUCAUCUAGUGGUGUCGCAAUGGCUGUGACUUCACACAUAUAACUCCUUCCUUUUGUAGAGUUGAGCUCAUAAGAUUCUCCAAGGUUAAAGAUAGACAGUAUUUCUUCAUGGAGGUGCAAUUCAAUAUCUGAUCUAUUAAUUAGCCCACUAGCCAUCUGCCAGUUCCCUCCUUCAAUGGACCACAAACCUCCACCAGACCCUGCCAAGGAAACUGCUCCAGCAAGUCCACUGAUAUAAACACUUUGGCCAUAGUUAAUUCUUGUAAUGACAGUGACAAGUUCUUGAAUCAAUAGAGGAGACAAUGCAACAUUCACCAAUUCCUCUUGCAAAGUGCAAGUAGUUAGAUUGUACAAACCAGCCCACUGCAGCAUCUCAUCUACAGUCUCGAAAGUGGGCCUCGUUUCAAAGCUCUGAUAAUACUUCAAGAACUUGUUUACGGUAACCUCAACGAAGCUGUUCAUUUUGAAAAGCGAAAAGCCAUAGCGCAACAACAUGUAAAGAGAAUUAGCAAAGGAGACGAUCUUCUGUACAAACGGAUUCUUAAACUCAAAAGUCAACGUUUUGAACACAAACUUGUUACCAUUCCAAAUCCCCAGCGAGAAAGAGCUCAUGGAAGUGGGAGGUAUCCUUCGCUUCAAAUUCAGCAAUUUAGUGAAAUUGGACGCGUGAUAGUUCAUGGGAUGAAGAAUGGAGGCACCGGCCUCGAAGGUCUCGCCGGAGAUGGUGACAGUUGCCAUGCGGCCUCCGACGAUCCCGUUUCGCUCGAAAAGAAGGAUACGAGCGGCGGAAGGCGGAGAGUUGGGAGGGGAGUAACUGCGGAGGAAGUGAGCGAGGGAGGAGCCGGCGAUGCCGCUGCCGAUGAUGCAUACGGUGGGGGAAGAGAGGGAUUGAGAUUGGGUGAAGAGAGCAAGGAGGCAGAUGAUGAUCGCGAGUAUGGAUGACAUUUUUGGUGCUACGGGAAGACUGAGCCAACCAACUAACAAAUAACAAUUUAAUUUCCGAUUUAAGCCAAGUAGCUUGAUUCGUCGUUGGUCGUUUAAUUGUGCAUAAACCAUCAGCAGCGAGGCUGUGGGCUUCACAUGGAUUCCGUCCG
rnacentral:misc_RNA from 1 species